rnacentral:rRNA from 1 species
UACGUAGGGUGCGAGCGUUGUCCGGAAUUACUGGGCGUAAAGAGUUCGUAGGCGGUUUGUCGCGUCGUUCGUGAAAACUUGGGGCUUAACUCCAAGCGUGCGGGCGAUACGGGCAGACUUGAGUACUACAGGGGAGACUGGAAUUCCUGGUGUAGCGGUGAAAUGCGCAGAUAUCGGGAGGAACACCGGUGGCGAAGGCGGUUCUCUGGGCCGUUACCUGACGCUGAGGAGCGAAAGCGUGGGGAGCGAACAGG